GGAGGAGGUGAGGGAGGGAGAGAGCAAUUAAAACGCCAGUCUCCUCUCCCCUCUUCUGACUCUUUUGCUCAUGGAAGUUCUGGGCUUGCUUGGAGGAAAAGCAAACAAACAAACAAAAAACAAGAAAACCCAGCAGCUCUCUUCAGGCAAACCAAGGGUAAGUAAACAUCCCUGAGCCAGUAGCCGGCUGCAUCCACGGGCACUGCUCGGAAUUAGGAGGCAGCUAAGUGGCAGGCUGGGAGUCCACCCCAGCGUGUAAAGUCAACACACUGGGCAGUCCAGGUUCCAGCUGCAAGGCUCACCCAGCUGAUCGGCCGCGACGAGGAGCUUUGAGGAACAAGCAGGCUGCUCUCACUCCAGGGCGUGACGGCCCCCGAAAGGUGGCGGGGGAGGGGGCGGCCUUGGGCACCCUCGUCCUCACUUCCCUUCAGAUGGAAAAACUGUGGCAGAGAGAAGUGAAAUGACCAACCCAAGGUCACACGGCUGUUAAGCAGUCGAAUUUGGCAUGCCCAGCCUCACACCUGUGACAAGCUCUAUAUCCUGGCCCUCACCAAAUCAGUCUGGAUGGCAGAUGAGCACCUAGAAAAGCAGGGACCAAAUGGCAGGAAACUCUUGGGAUGUUUCUGGGCAUCAAAAAAGAAAGAAAACCAUCUCUUUCUUAUAUAAUUAAUCCAAAAAAUGCUGGAGACGCUGCCGAGAUCCAGGAAGCAAAUGGGAAUUUCAUCUACAAUGUGAGGUGAGACACAGAGAUCGCCAUUUCCAGAUAAGCAUGUGUGGUUUCACAAAUCAGAAAAUGGGCCAAGCGCGGUGGCUCACGCCCGGCAUCCCAGAACUUUGGGAGGCUGAGGCAGGUGGAUUGCCUGAGAUCAGCAGU